rnacentral:rRNA from 1 species
AAACUUUUGACAACGGAUCUCUUGGCUCUCGUAUCGAUGAAGAACGCAGCAAAUUGCGAUAUGUAAUUAAACUUGCAGACGUGAAACAUUAAUUUUUGAACGCACAUUGCGCUAUUUGGCAUGAAAUAUUGAGAGGAUUUUAAUUC